rnacentral:antisense_RNA from 1 species
UGUUAUGGCGGCUAUGCGUUGGAGGCCUUAGGGCCUGCCGGAUACCUUUCCCCGGUCGACCAACCUGCGCACAGCUGCCACCCAU